rnacentral:rRNA from 1 species
UUGCGGUUAAAAAGCUCGUAGUUGGAUUCCUGCAUGGAAGGAGUGCCCCCACCCUUUGGAUGGGGGUUGCUUUCUUCUUUGCAUCUUCUGGAGUAGAUGUUCCUCACUUAACUGUGUGGACAUCGUGCUCGGGUCAUUUACUUUGAGGAAAAGAGAGUGCUUCAAGCAGGCAACCGCCUGAGUACGUUAGCAUGGAAUAACAGCAUCGGAUCACCGUUCAGCUGUUGGUGUCUGGACGAGGAUAAAGGUGAACAGGGAUUGUUGGGGGCAUUCGUAUUUAACUGUCAGAGGUGAAA